rnacentral:tRNA from 1 species
GAGGGUGUAGCUAAGUGGUAGAGCACGUGUCUAGCAAGCCCGAGGCCCUGGGUUCAUUCCCCAGUCCCUCCA